CUCGAUAAUCCACGCAUACUCAACCUUCUCUAGAUAUUCAGCAUGUGUACUGCCGUUGUAAGCAUACCUCUAAAAGAACAAGUGUGCCACUAUGACUGAAAGCUCAUAUACAUCAGGUCAAAGUGCAGCCAAUGAAAAGGUGAUGAUGGGUUACAACCCAAAAAUAGACUAUCAAUCAAGAAAUAAAAAAUCUUAAGAAAGUGGACUUGGCUGUAAUCAAUUUAUAAGUUAAAAAAAUGAAUAAAUAUCUAAGACAUGCACACAUCGCCCGUCACUCUAUCCUAAAGGAUAGAUAAGUCGUAACAAAGUAGGUGUAAUGGAAAUUGCCCCUGUCGGAAUAUAGCAUAUAUAAUGCUCUCUACUUACACUAGAACCAAAGUUAAUAAACUUAAUCCGCCCAUUUUAGCAAAUCCUACAAAUAUAAAAUAAUAAAAACACCUAUAUAGUUAACCAAUAAAGAAGUACAGAAAUGAAAAUAACAAUUAACAACAGUAACUUUUAACAAUUGUACCUUGUGCAUUAUGGUUUUACAAGAAAUAAAUUAAAAAAUAGAUCCCGAAUUCUAAAUGAGAUGUUAAACUGCCGUUAAGAACCCACUAAUAUCUGUAGAAAAAGAUUUAAAAGACAGUUUAACAGAGGCUACAUACCAUCCGCAUAAGAAUAUAGCUGGUUUUCGACAAACAUUAUACAUUAAAACAUAUAAUUUUAUUAUAGUGUAAAACUAUUGAGGAUAAGCCCAAUAAUACAUACAAUAUACCCAAAUUUCAUCGCCAUCCCUUAGGCCUAAAAUCAGCCAACCAAAAUACUUUACCGUAUUAAAUAAUCGAUAAAAUAUAUAAAAUAAUUAUGUUAAAUAAAGUCGAAAUAGUUGACAAAUUAAAUUAAUCUACCUAUAACAUGUAAAAAUAAGUAUUAUAAACUAUUACUCCACCAACCAAGUAACAGCAACAAAUAAACAAUUAAUAACUAAUUAAGGAACUCGGCAAACCAUUAUUUCGACUGUUUAACAAAAACACUGUCUCAUGAAUAAAAUAUGAGAUAAUACCUG
rnacentral:rRNA from 1 species